ACCUGACUGGCUCAGUGGUAGAGCAUGUGACUCUCGAUCUCGGUUGUGAGUUCGAGCCCCGUGUUGGGCU
rnacentral:tRNA from 1 species